UGAUUACAGUGUUCCAAAUGAGCAUAAAAGCGAAGCUCUUGCUUUGCGAUAUGCGAAUUUGGUGGUGGAUUGCGGCAGUGCGUAGCACGUAACAAUCCGUGUAAUCA
rnacentral:sRNA from 1 species